rnacentral:rRNA from 1 species
GACGAACGCUGGCGGCGUGCUUAACACAUGCAAGUCGAGCGGUAAGGCUCCUUCGGGAGUACACGAGCGGCGAACGGGUGAGUAACACGUGAGCAACCUGCCCUUCUCAUCGGAAUAAGCGUUGGAAACGACGUCUAAUGCCGAAUACGACCUCAGAAGGCAUCUUCAGAGGUGGAAAGCUCCGGCGGAGAAGGAUGGGCUCGCGGCCUAUCAGCUUGUUGGUGGGGUAACGGCCCACCAAGGCGACGACGGGUAGCCGGCCUGAGAGGGUGACCGGCCACACUGGGACUGAGACACGGCCCAGACUCCUACGGGAGGCAGCAGUGGGGAAUAUUGGACAAUGGGCGAAAGCCUGAUCCAGCAACGCCGCGUGAGGGAUGACGGCCUUCGGGUUGUAAACCUCUUUCAGCACCGACGAAGCGAAAGUGACGGUAGGUGCAGAAGAAGGACCGGCCAACUACGUGCCAGCAGCCGCGGUAAUACGUAGGGUCCGAGCGUUGUCCGGAAUUAUUGGGCGUAAAGGGCUCGUAGGCGGUUUGUCGCGUCGGGAGUGAAAACUCAGGGCUCAACCCUGAGCGUGCUUCCGAUACGGGCAGACUAGAGGUAUGCAGGGGAGAACGGAAUUCCUGGUGUAGCGGUGGAAUGCGCAGAUAUCAGGAGGAACACCGGUGGCGAAGGCGGUUCUCUGGGCAUUACCUGACGCUGAGGAGCGAAAGCAUGGGGAGCGAACAGGAUUAGAUACCCUGGUAGUCCAUGCCGUAAACGUUGGGCGCUAGGUGUGGGGACCUUCCACGGUCUCCGUGCCGCAGCUAACGCAUUAAGCGCCCCGCCUGGGGAGUACGGCCGCAAGGCUAAAACUCAAAGGAAUUGACGGGGGCCCGCACAAGCGGCGGAGCAUGCUGAUUAAUUCGAUGCAACGCGAAG